AUUGAACGCUGGCGGCAGGCUUAACACAUGCAAGUCGAGCGGGGACUUCGGUCCUAGCGGCGAACGGGCGAGGAAUGCUUGGGAAUCUGCCCAGUAGCGGGGGAUAACGUUUCGAAAGGAACGCUAAUACCGCAUACGCCCUACGGGGGAAAGGGGGGGAUCUUCGGACCUCUCACUAUUGGAUGAGCCCAAGUCGGAUUAGCUAGUUGGUGGGGUAAAGGCCUACCAAGGCGACGAUCCGUAGCUGGUCUGAGAGGAUGAUCAGCCACACUGGAACUGAGACACGGUCCAGACUCCUACGGGAGGCAGCAUUGGGGAAUAUUGGACAAUGGGCGAAAGCCUGAUCCAGCCAUGCCGCGUGUGUGAAGAAGGCCUUCGGGUUGUAAAGCACUUUAAGCGAGGAGGAAUGGCUGAGGGUUAAUAACCUUCAGCAGUGACGUUACUCGCAGAAUAAGCACCGGCUAACUCUGUGCCAGCAGCCGCAGUAAGAC
rnacentral:rRNA from 1 species